rnacentral:rRNA from 1 species
UACGGGGGGGGCAAGCGUUGUUCGGAAUUACUGGGCGUAAAGGGCUCGUAGGCGGCCAACUAAGUCAGACGUGAAAUCCCUCGGCUUAACCGGGGAACUGCGUCUGAUACUGGAUGGCUUGAGUUCGGGAGAGGGAUGCGGAAUUCCAGGUGUAGCGGUGAAAUGCGUAGAUAUCUGGAGGAACACCGGUGGCGAAGGCGGCGAUCCUGGACCGAGAUUGACGCUGAUGCGCGAAAGCGUGGGGAGCAAACGGG